GGGGGUAUAGCUCAGUGAUAGAGUGCUUGCCUGGUAUGCACAAGGUCCUGUGUUUGAUCCUCAGUACCACACA
rnacentral:tRNA from 1 species